AGCGAACGCUGGCGGCAGGCCUAACACAUGCAAGUCGAACGGACCCUUCGGGGUUAGUGGCGGACGGGUGAGUAACACGUGGGAACGUGCCUUUAGGUUCGGAAUAGCCCCUGGAAACGGGUGGUAAUGCCGAAUGUGCCCUUCGGGGGAAAGAUUUAUCGCCUUUAGAGCGGCCCGCGUCUGAUUAGCUAGUUGGUGAGGUAAUGGCUCACCAAGGCGACGAUCAGUAGCUGGUCUGAGAGGAUGAACAGCCACAUUGGGACUGAGACACGGCCCAAACUCCGACGGGAGGCAGCAGUGGGGAAUCUUGCGCAAUGGGCGAAAGCCUGACGCAGCCAUGCCGCGUGGAUGAUGAAGGUCUUAGGAUUGUAAAAUCCUUUCACCGGUGAAGAUAAUGACUGUAGCCGGAGAAGAAGCCCCGGCUAACUUCGUGCCAGCCGCCGCGGUAACAC
rnacentral:rRNA from 1 species